CGGACCUCAGAUCAGGCAAGACCUCCCGCUGAGUUUAAGCAUAUCAUGUAAGCGGAGGAAAAGAAACUAA
rnacentral:rRNA from 1 species